rnacentral:rRNA from 1 species
CCUACGGGAGGCAGCAGUGGGGGAUAUUGCACAAUGGGGGAAACCCUGAUGCAGCGACGCCGCGUGGGCGAAGAAGUAUUUCGGUAUGUAAAGCCCUAUCAGCAGGGAAGAAGAAAUGACGGUACCUGUGUAAGAAGCACCGGCUAAAUACGUGCCAGCAGCCGCGGUAAUACGUAGGGUGCAAGCGUUAUCCGGAUUUACUGGGUGUAAAGGGAGCGCAGGCGGCACGGCAAGCCUGAUGUGAAAGCCCGGGGCCCAACCGCGGGACUGCAUUUGGAACUACCGGGCUGGAGUGCCGGAGAGGUAGGCGGAAUUCCUAGUGUAGCGGUGAAAUGCGUAGAUAUUAGGAGGAACACCAGUGGCGAAGGCGGCCUACUGGACGGUGACUGACGCUGAGGCUCGAAAGCGUGGGGAGCAAACAGGAUUAGAUACCCUUGUAGUC